rnacentral:rRNA from 1 species
CCUACGGGAGGCUGCAGUGAGGAAUAUUGGUCAAUGGGCGCUAGCCUGAACCAGCCAAGUAGCGUGAAGGAUGACGGCCCUAUGGGUUGUAAACUUCUUUUAUCUGGGAGUAAGGUGCAGUAUGUAUACUGCUUUGCAUGUACCUGAUGAAUAAGGAUCGGCUAACUCCGUGCCAGCAGCCGCGGUAAUACGGAGGAUCCGAGCGUUAUCCGGAUUUAUUGGGUUUAAAGGGAGCGGAGGCGGGUUGUUAAGUCAGUUGUGAAAGUUUGCGGCUCAACCGUCACAUUGCAGUUGAAACUGGCAUCCUUGAGUACACGAGGGGUAGGCGGAAUGCGUGGUGUAGCGGUGAAAUGCUUAGAUAUCACGAAGAACUCCGAUUGCGAAGGCAGCCUGCUGGACUGUAACUGACGCUGAUGCUCGAAAGUGUGGGUAUCAAACAGGAUUAGAUACCCCGGUAGUA